GACAGAGGGUGCAAACGUUGCUCGGAAUCACUGGGCGUAAAGGGCGUGUAGGCGGGAUGGCAAGUCGGGCGUGAAAUCCCUGGGCUCAACCCAGGAACUGCACUCGAAACUGCUGUUCUUGAGUAUCGGAGAGGAAAGCGGAAUACCUGGUGUAGAGGUGAAAUUCGUAGAUAUCAGGUGGAACACCAGUGGCGAGGCGGCUUACUGGACGAUCUGACGCUGAGGCACGAAAGCGUGGGGAGCAAACAGG
rnacentral:rRNA from 1 species